GGCCGGUUGGCCCAAUGGCAAGGCGUCUGACUACGACUCCCGGAUCUCCAACUCGAGAUCGGAGGUUAUGCAAUCAGGAGAUUCUGGGUUCGACCCCCAGGCUGGUCA